rnacentral:rRNA from 1 species
AACGAACGCUGGCGGCAUGCCUAACACAUGCAAGUCGAACGAGACCUUCGGGUCUAGUGGCGCACGGGUGCGUAACGCGUGGGAACCUGCCCUUAGGUUCGGAAUAACUCCCCGAAAGGGGUGCUAAUACCGGAUAAUGUCUUUGGACCAAAGAUUUAUCGCCUUUGGAUGGGCCCGCGUUGGAUUAGCUAGUUGGUAGGGUAAAAGCCUACCAAGGCGACGAUCCAUAGCUGGUCUGAGAGGAUGAUCAGCCACACUGGGACUGAGACACGGCCCAGACUCCUACGGGAGGCAGCAGUGGGGAAUAUUGGACAAUGGGCGAAAGCCUGAUCCAGCAAUGCCGCGUGAGUGAUGAAGGCCUUAGGGUUGUAAAGCUCUUUUACCCGGGAUGAUAAUGACAGUACCGGGAGAAUAAGCUCCGGCUAACUCCGU